rnacentral:rRNA from 1 species
UACGGAGGGGGCUAGCGUUGUUCGGAAUUACUGGGCGUAAAGCGCGCGUAGGCGGCUUUGUAAGUUAGAGGUGAAAGCCCGGGGCUCAACCCCGGAACUGCCUUUAAGACUGCAUCGCUAGAAUUGUGGAGAGGUAAGUGGAAUUCCGAGUGUAGAGGUGAAAUUCGUAGAUAUCGGGAGGAACACCGGGCGGCGAAGGCGGCGACCUGGGUCGAUAUUGACGCUGAGGCGCGAAAGCGUGGGGAGCAAACAGG